AGUGAACGCUGGCGGUAGGCCUAACACAUGCAAGUCGAACGGCAGCACAGUAAGAGCUUGCUCUUACGGGUGGCGAGUGGCGGACGGGUGAGGAAUACAUCGGAAUCUACUUUUUCGUGGGGGAUAACGUAGGGAAACUUACGCUAAUACCGCAUACGACCUACGGGUGAAAGCAGGGGAUCUUCGGACCUUGCGCGAUUGAAUGAGCCUAUGUCGGAUUAGCUAGUUGGCGGGGUAAAGGCCCACCAAGGCGACGAUCCGUAGCUGGUCUGAGAGGAUGAUCAGCCACACUGGAACUGAGACACGGUCCAGACUCCUACGGGAGGCAGCAGUGGGGAAUAUUGGACAAAGGGCGCAAGCCUGAUCCAGCCAUACCGCGUGGGUGAAGAAGGCCUUCGGGUUGUAAAGCCCUUUUGUUGGGAAAGAAAAGCAGCAGGUUAAUACCCCGCUGUUCUGACGGUACCCAAAGAAUAAGCACCGGCUAACUUCGUG
rnacentral:rRNA from 1 species